UACAAUGCGAGAAAUCGUGAUAAGGGAACCCCGAGUGCCCGUAAAUUCGGGCUGUCCGCCAGUGUAAAUAACUGGUGAAGAAAGGGCCGGGCAAGACCGGUGCCAGCCGCCGCGGUAAUACCGGCGGCUCGAGUGGUGGCCACUAUUACUGGGCUUAAAGCGUCCGUAGCUGGAUUGUUAAGUCUCUUGGGAAAUCCACCGGCUCAACCGAUGGGCGUUCAGGAGAAACUGGCAAUCUAGGGACCGGGAGAGGUGAGAGGUACUCCAGGGGUAGGAGUGAAAUCCUGUAAUCCUUGGGGGACCACCUGUGGCGAAGGCGUCUCACUAGAACGGCUCCGACAGUGAGGGACGAAAGCUGGGGGAGCAAACCGGAUUAGAUACCCGGGUAGUCCCAGCUGUAAACGAUGCGCGUUAGGUGUAUCGGUGACCACGAGUCAUCGAGGUGCCGAAGGGAAACCGUGAAACGUGCCGC
rnacentral:rRNA from 1 species